GAUGAAGAACGUAGCGAAAUGCGAUAAGUAAUGUGAAUUGCAGAAUUCGGUGAAUCAUCGAAUCUUUGAACGCACAUUGCGCCCGCCAGUAUUCUGGCGGGCAUGCCUGUUCGAGCGUCAUUUCAACCCUCAAGCCCAGCUUGGUGUUGGGGAUCGGCACAGGCGCCCUCGGGCGCCCGCCGUCCCCUAAAUCUAGUGGCGGUCCCGCUGCAGCCUCCUCUGCGUAGUAGUUUUCUCCUCGCAAGGGCAGCUCGGUGGCGAACGCGCCGUAAAACCCCCAACUUCUGAAAGGUUGACCUCGAAUCAGGUAGGAAUACCCGCUGAACUUAAGCAUAUCAAUAAGCGGAGGA
rnacentral:misc_RNA from 1 species